CCUACGGGGGGCAGCAGUAGGGACUCUUCGGCCAUGGGGGGAACCCUGACCGAGCAACGCCGCGUGAACGAAGAAGUUAUUCGUAAUGUAAAGUUCUUUUAACAGGGAAGAAAGAGAAAUUUGACGGUACCUGAAGAAUAAGCUCCGGCUAACUACGUGCCAGCAGCCGCGGUACUACGGAGGAUGCGAGCGUUAUCCGGAUUUAUUGGUUUUAAAGGGUGCGCAGGCGGAAGAUCAAGUCAGCGGUAAAAUUGAGAGGCUCAACCUCUUCGAGCCGUUGACACUGGUGUUCUUGAGUGAGCGAGAAGUAUGCGGAAUGCGUGGUGUAGCGGUGAAAUGCAUAGAUAUCACGCAGAACUCCGAUUGCGAAGGCAGCAUACCGGCGCUCAACUGACGCUCAUGCACGAAAGUGUGGGUAUCGAACAGGAUUAGAUACCCCAGUAGUC
rnacentral:rRNA from 1 species